rfam:Schistosoma margrebowiei strain Zambia genome assembly, scaffold: SMRZ_scaffold0000551
AUCCCGUUGACGAGUCCCAAAUAGGACGAAACGCGCGUCCUGGAU